CGGCUGUCAGCGGACUGCU
rnacentral:snRNA from 1 species